CGCGACCGGGUCACCAACGAAGAAGAAGAAGAAACUGCCCGCGAAGGUAAACCAAAUGUAUAAUGUUGCCAACUCGGAACGAGAUGAAUGCUCCGUGGAUACAUUUUCGACCACAAAACAAGAAAGAACAAAUUGCUGCUUCGUGGAAGACGACCAUUGACAACUGACAGCAUAAACAACAAAACGGACUUGGCUGGCAGGACUGUUGGCUGUUUGAAUGACAAGGAAGUCAGUCCACCUCUGGUACGGUUUUCCUGAUGUCUGCUCCCGGACCACAUGAUUGAAUCCGCCGUGGCUUUGACGGCAGAGAGGACUGGCGACCGCCGGCCGUCCUUGUCUGCUCUUCAGAGGCGGCCCCGGAUCAGAAGGUGGCCGUCCAAGAAGAAGAGAAAGGGCCCCGUCUCAAACGUUUCCCGGUGCUCGACGGCAGGACGCUUUGAAGGAA